GGAACAAAUCACCUAUUCGUGAAAUAAAGUAAUUUUGAAGCAGACAAGGGAAUCUGUGAACUCAGGCUAAGUUUUUGCUGGAUCGUGGGAAGACUGACUUGGAACUAAAGUUUCCCCCAUCGCUGGAGAGUGUCCUCACCCUCUCAAUUAUAAAAUAAUCUUUUCUUUGGUGCAGAAAGCAUUUACACAUCUUGUGUAAAGCUUCAUUUCAUGUCAGGAGAGACUUGGAGGAUCCACCCAAGAAUGUUCCUGAGGCUGGUCGUCAGAAUAUGUUUUCUUGGAGGGAAGUAUGAAUUCAGAUCCCCUGAAGAAGAGAAAAGAGUUGAUCUCCUGCACUCCAAGCUUGGCUGUUGGCCUCACUUUGCUAAGUGAGGGUUUCAACAAGUGGAGAAGAUGGAUGGCCAGACCAAUCAACUACAAAAUAUGUAAAAGCCACUGGACAAUACCAUAUUUCUGUCUACCUGAAUGGAGCCAGCUUUCGUCCACACCACUCCAAAUGAG
rnacentral:lncRNA from 1 species